GUUUGAUCCUGGCUCAGGAUGAACGCUGGCGGCGUGCUUAACACAUGCAAGUCGAACGAUCCUUCGGGAUAGUGGCGGACGGGUGAGUAACGCGUGGGAAUCUGCCCUUAGGAGGGGGAUAACGGCUGGAAACGGCCGCUAAUUCCCCAUAUGCCGAGAGGUGAAACGAAUUUCGCCUGAGGAUGAGCCCGCGUCUGAUUAGCUAGUUGGUGGGGUAAAGGCCUACCAAGGCGACGAUCAGUAGCUGGUCUGAGAGGAUGAUCAGCCACACUGGGACUGAGACACGGCCCAGACUCCUACGGGAGGCAGCAGUGGGGAAUUUUCCGCAAUGGGCGAAAGCCUGACGGAGCAACGCCGCGUGAGGGAUGAAGGCCUCUGGGCUGUAAACCUCUUUUCUCAAGGAAGAAGAACUGACGGUACUUGAGGAAUAAGCCACGGCUAAUUCCGUGCCAGCAGCCGCGGUAAUACGGGAGUGGCAAGCGUUAUCCGGAAUUAUUGGGCGUAAAGCGUCCGCAGGCGGCCUUGUAAGUCUGUUGUUAAAGCGUGGAGCUCAACUCCAUUUAAGCAAUGGAAACUACAAGGCUGGAGUGUGGUAGGGGCAGAGGGAAUUCCCGGUGUAGCGGUGAAAUGCGUAGAUAUCGGGAAGAACACCAGUGGCGAAGGCGCUCUGCUGGGCCAUAACUGACGCUCAUGGACGAAAGCCAGGGGAGCGAAAGGGAUUAGAUACCCCUGUAGUCCUGGCCGUAAACGAUGAACACUAGGUGUCGGGGGAAUCGACCCCCUCGGUGUCGUAGCCAACGCGUUAAGUGUUCCGCCUGGGGAGUACGCACGCAAGUGUGAAACUCAAAGGAAUUGACGGGGGCCCGCACAAGCGGUGGAGUAUGUGGUUUAAUUCGAUGCAACGCGAAGAACCUUACCAGGGUUUGACAUCCUGCGAAUCCCUUGGAAACGAGGGAGUGCCUUCGGGAGCGCAGUGACAGGUGGUGCAUGGCUGUCGUCAGCUCGUGUCGUGAGAUGUUGGGUUAAGUCCCGCAACGAGCGCAACCCACGUCUUUAGUUGCCAGCAUUCAGUUGGGCACUCUAGAGAGACCGCCGGUGAUAAACCGGAGGAAGGUGUGGAUGACGUCAAGUCAUCAUGCCCCUUACAUCCUGGGCUACACACGUACUACAAUGCUACGGACAAAGGGCAGCAAGCUCGCGAGAGUUAGCAAAUCCCAUAAACCGUGGCUCAGUUCAGAUCGUAGGCUGCAACUCGCCUACGUGAAGGAGGAAUCGCUAGUAAUCGCAGGUCAGCAUACUGCGGUGAAUACGUUCCCGGGCCUUGUACACACCGCCCGUCACACCAUGGAAGUUGGCCAUGCCCGAAGUCGUUACUCCAACCCUUGUGGAGGAGGACGCCGAAGGUGGGGCUGAUGACUGGGGUGAAGUCGUAACAAGGUA
rnacentral:rRNA from 1 species